rnacentral:rRNA from 1 species
CAAGCGGAGGAACAUGUGGUUUAAUUCGAUGAUACGCGAGGAACCUUUACCUGGGCUUUAAAUGUAGAGUGCAUUUUUUAGAGAUAGAAAUUCCCUUCGGGGCUUUCUGCAAGGUGCUGCAUGGUUGUCGUCAGCUCGUACCGUGAGGUGUCGGGUUAAGUCCCAUAACGAGCGCAACCCUUAUCGUUAGUUGCCAGCUGGUAAAGCAGGGGACUCUAGCGAAACUGCCACCGUAAGGUGAGAGGAAGGUGGGAUGACGUCAAAUCAGCACGGCCCUUAUGUCCAGGGCUACACACGUGUUACAAUGGCCGGCACAGAGGGCAGCUACCUGGUGACAGGAUGCUAAUCUCGAAAACCGGUCUCAGUUCGGAUCGAAGUCUGCAACUCGACUUCGUGAAGCUGGAUUCGCUAGUAAUCGCGCAUCAGCCAUGGCGCGGUGAAUACGUUCCGGCCUU